rnacentral:rRNA from 1 species
GUGGGGAAUUUUGGACAAUGGGCGCAAGCCUGAUCCAGCAAUGCCGCGUGCAGGAAGAAGGCCUUCGGGUUGUAAACUGCUUUUGUACGGAAUGAAACGGUCCUGGUUAAUACCCGGGGCUAAUGACGGUACCGUAAGAAUAAGCACCGGCUAACUACGUGCCAGCAGCCGCGGUAAUACGUAGGGUGCAAGCGUUAAUCGGAAUUACUGGGCGUAACGCGUGCGCAGGCGGUGCUGUAAGACAGGCGUGAAAUCCCCGGGCUCAACCUGGGAAUUGCGCUUGUGACUGCAAGGCUGGAGUGCGGCAGAGGGGGAUGGAAGUCCGCGUGUAGCAGUGAAAUGCGUAGAUAUGCGGAGGAACACCGAUGGCGAAGGCCAUCCCCUGGGCCUGCACUGACGCUCAUGCACGAAAGCGUGGGGAGCAAACAGGAUUAGAAACCCCUGUAGUCC